UUUGAUCCUGGCUCAGGACGAACGCUGGCGGCGUGCUUAACACAUGCAAGUCGAACGAUGAACCACUUCGGUGGGGAUUAGUGGCGAACGGGUGAGUAACACGUGGGCAAUCUGCCCUGCACUCUGGGACAAGCCCUGGAAACGGGGUCUAAUACCGGAUACUGACCCGCUUGGGCAUCCAAGCGGUUCGAAAGCUCCGGCGGUGCAGGAUGAGCCCGCGGCCUAUCAGCUUGUUGGUGAGGUAAUGGCUCACCAAGGCGACGACGGGUAGCCGGCCUGAGAGGGCGACCGGCCACACUGGGACUGAGACACGGCCCAGACUCCUACGGGAGGCAGCAGUGGGGAAUAUUGCACAAUGGGCGAAAGCCUGAUGCAGCGACGCCGCGUGAGGGAUGACGGCCUUCGGGUUGUAAACCUCUUUCAGCAGGGAAGAAGCGAAAGUGACGGUACCUGCAGAAGAAGCGCCGGCUAACUACGUGCCAGCAGCCGCGGUAAUACGUAGGGCGCGAGCGUUGUCCGGAAUUAUUGGGCGUAAAGAGCUCGUAGGCGGCUUGUCACGUCGGUUGUGAAAGCCCGGGGCUUAACCCCGGGUCUGCAGUCGAUACGGGCAGGCUAGAGUUCGGUAGGGGAGAUCGGAAUUCCUGGUGUAGCGGUGAAAUGCGCAGAUAUCAGGAGGAACACCGGUGGCGAAGGCGGAUCUCUGGGCCGAUACUGACGCUGAGGAGCGAAAGCGUGGGGAGCGAACAGGAUUAGAUACCC
rnacentral:rRNA from 1 species